rnacentral:rRNA from 1 species
GAUGAACGCUAGCUACAGGCUUAACACAUGCAAGUCGAGGGGAAACGACAUCGAAAGCUUGCUUUUGGUGGGCGUCGACCGGCGCACGGGUGAGUAACGCGUAUCCAACCUGCCCACCACUUGGGGAUAACCUUGCGAAAGUAAGACUAAUACCCAAUGAUAUCCCACGAAGGCAUCGGAAUGGGAUUAAAGAUUUAUCGGUGAUGGAUGGGGAUGCGUCUGAUUAGCUUGUUGGCGGGGUAACGGCCCACCAAGGCAACGAUCAGUAGGGGUUCUGAGAGGAAGGUCCCCCACAUUGGAACUGAGACACGGUCCAAACUCCUACGGGAGGCAGCAGUGAGGAAUAUUGGUCAAUGGGCGAGAGCCUGAACCAGCCAAGUAGCGUGCAGGACGACGGCCCUAUGGGUUGUAAACUGCUUUUAUAAGGGAAUAAAGUGGGUCUCGUGAGACUUUUUGCAUGUACCUUAUGAAUAAGGACCGGCUAAUUCCGUG